AUGAAUGUGGUAGGAGUGCCUGACGAAGUAGCAAGACAGAUGUCGGUACAAGUGCAUGUGACAGAGUACAACAUUGCUCAGCUGCAAGGCAUGCUGGAUAGAGGUCUUUGUCUGACACAUGAAGAUGCUAAUUCCAUCACGCACUCCUUGGAUGUGGGGAAAGCAAAUAAGAAACGCAUCAUGCUGAAGGUUGGUGAAACGGUCAACCGCAGAAUUCUAGAUGGAGAUACUGUAUUUAUCAAUAGGCCACCAAGCACCGACAAGCACUCAGUCCAAGGAAUGUAUGCCCAUGUUCAUAGUGAUCACACCAUCAAGAUCAACCCACUCAUAUGUGGACCACUUGGAGCUGAUUUCGAUGGUGAUUGUGUCCACAUAUUCUUCCCAAGGUCAGUGUCAGCAAGGGCUGAAGCUACAGAGCUCUUCACGGUGGAGAAGCAGCUGGUGAGCUCUCACAGUGCUAAACUGAACUUUCAACUUAUAAAUGCAAUGUUCACGGGAGGGUUGAUUCCCAAGAAGCAACUAUCAGGUGGACCAAAGUGGACUUUUGCUCAGAUUCUAGAAACAUUACUGCCAGAGGAGAACAGAAUGUUAGUCAGAGACUUGGUUACUGGCACAAUCACCAUCUCAUCAGUUUUGUCAACGAUGAGUCCAAAGGAGGCCGUAGAAUUUCUGAAUCUUCUGCAGCCCCUGCUGAUGGAAUCAUUAUCUAUUGAUGGCUUCAGUAUAAAUCUGAGAGACUUCACUGUCGAAAAUUCAAUACCAGAGAUGAUUCAGCAUAAGGCACUUAAUCUUGACAAGUUACGGAAACCAAUUGUGGACUUCAUCGCUUCUUCUUCUGAUAUUCGUUUGUUGGUUGAUCAAAAGAGUGACUCUGCCAUGAACAAAGUAGUGGAGCAGAUUGGUUUCUUGGGAACUCAGCUGCAGUGCAACGGAAGAUUAUACUCUAGCAGCUUAGUGGAGGAUUGCCUAUCCAAGUCACUGAGCAAAUGUGGCAGCAGCAGCAACGGUGGCCAUCCUUUGGAGGCACAUGGUUUUAUCAGAAGCUCAUUUUACAAGGGACUGAACCCAUAUGAGGACCUACUCCAUUCGAUAUCUGCAAGGGAGAAGAUAAUACACGCAUCUAAAGGACUAAUGGAGCCGGGCACUCUCUUCAAGGACAUGAUUGCAAUGCUCCGAGAUGUUGUAGCAUGCUAUGAUGGAACCAUAAGAAACUCGUGUGGAAAUUCAGUUGCUGAGUUUGACUCGACAGAAUCAUCGAGUUAUGUGACACCAGGAGAUCCUGUUGGUAUCUUGGCAGCCACUGCAGUUGCAAAUGCUGCAUACAAGGUGGUGUUAGAUCCAAAUCAGAACAACAUGACCUCCUGGGACUCGAUGAAGGAAGUGCUACUUACAAGAGCUAGCUCUCGAAAUGAAAAUGACCAAAAAAUAAUCUUGUAUCUGAGUAAAUGCUCUUGUGGGAAUAAUUUUUGCACGGAAAGAGCAUCACUAGCAGUUCAAGCCUGCUUAAAGAGGACCAAAGUAGAAGACUGUGCUACUGAGUUCUCAGUCCAGUAUCAACACCAAAAUAUGGAAGCAACACAUUGUCUUGUUGGCCAUAUUCACCUUGACAAGAAGCAACUGGAUGAAAUGAACAUAAGUAUGGAAGAUAUUCUUCAGAAAUGCCAGGAAGCUAUUUGUGAACGCCGAAAGAAAAAGGGGCAAGUGUAUCAAGUUCUGAAGAGAAUUGUACUGAGUUCAAGGUGA
rnacentral:rRNA from 1 species